GGUGGUUCUCGAGUGAAGCACGCCAGAAUUGGGCUCCCUCCUCUCUGGUUCCAGGUGCGUCACCCGAGAACCACA
rfam:Myotis davidii contig25397, whole genome shotgun sequence.